UUCAACUUGAGAGUUUGAUCCUGGCUCAGAACGAACGCUGGCGGCA
rnacentral:rRNA from 1 species